rnacentral:rRNA from 1 species
UACGUAGGGUCCGAGCGUUGUCCGGAAUUAUUGGGCGUAAAGGGCUCGUAGGCGGUUAGUCGCGUCGGGAGUGAAAACUCACAGCUCAACUGUGGGCGUGCGGGCGAUACGGGCAGACUUGAGUACUGCAGGGGAGACUGGAAUUCCUGGUGUAGCGGUGAAAUGCGCAGAUAUCAGGAGGAACACCGAUGGCGAAGGCAGGUCGCUGGGCAUUAACUGACGCUGAGGAGCGAAAGCAUGGGGAGCGAACAGG